AAUACACAUUUAUCUGGAGAAAAUACUUAUCUCACAUAAAUAUACUUGUCACAUAAUUAUAAAAAUAUUUCUCGGAAGUCUGUGUUGCAUGAAGAACUGAGAGAAAGCACAAAUCAUGUCGGUCGACUCUGGGGCCAAAACUUAUUCUCUUAGCACCACUUAGACUAUUACAGGUACAAUAGUUUUAACUAUUUGUAUAGUUUAAAGGUAGCCAAGUUUAGUUUGGAAGAGAGUUUUAUCACAGAAGAUUCUCAAAGUAACACAGACUGCGAAAACGAAAGCCUAUCUGUGGCUUCAUCAGAGUCUUCCUAUUGUUAUCUUAAAUUGGCUACUUUUAUAUGGCUUGGGUUCAUAAGCAGACAUCCAAAUGGUUUAUCACAUGAUCAAGUAUUUAUUCUUUUCCUGGCCGGUCAGAUAGCUUGUAGUCAUAUUGAUAGCUAAACCAUGUGGACUAAUUUUUCUUUUGUUCCAUAAAUAUUCAUCUUCCACCUUUCUGUGGCAGUAUUUCUCUUCAGAAGAAAGAGGAGGUUUCUCAUUUUGCUUUAGAUGUAUUAUAAAAACUCACAGACAUAUAUUGUUUUGGUGACAUGCAGUAGUAUGCAAAAUAAAUGCAAAACACUUUCUAACAUUCUUGCAU
rnacentral:lncRNA from 1 species